rnacentral:tRNA from 1 species
CGGGGUGUGGCGCAGUGGUUAGCGCGCAUGGUUUGGGACCAUGAGGUCGCCGGUUCAAAUCCGGCCACCCCGACCA